CCCUCCUUAGCUCAGCGGAUCAGAGCAGACGGCUUCUACCCGUAAGGUCGCAGGUUCGAAUCCUGCAGGGGGGG
rnacentral:tRNA from 4 species